UCCUCCAGAAUAUCUUAACGAGGCAGGCUUCCUAAUCGGAUUCACAUUUUUAAAAGUCCACCGCACCCGAUUGGUUCCAAAGAAUGCUUUUUUUGGGGGGGGGGAUAUGUCAAAUCAGCUCAAGCAGCGAUCUUGCUCAGAGCGGAGACCAGGAAGAGAGGAUGUGAGGAAAAUGACUUUGAAGGGAUGAAAAAAACCACACACACUUUAUUGUGCAUCUUUCAAAUACAGAACUUAAAAAUAACGACUGCAACCACGAAGUUAAUUCCCGUAGAGCUUUUCAAUGAUGGGAAAAAUUUUCUCCAUUUGCUGUGCCAAUUGUAUCCUUUUACAAGGGAAAAUCCUCAAGAAAACCUGUCUGUAAAAUGUCAAGAUGGAAUUUUCGUAUUUUGUGUCGAUUUAAGCAUAGGGAGUGCCUAAUCAAAUCUUACCAUCUCUCUCUCUCUCUCUCUCUCUCUCUCUCUCUCGUUCUCUUCCUCUUCCUCUAAAAUCUCCUGCCUUAUAAUGUGGCCAUUUGGUAAAUACAUUUGGGCUCCCCUUCAGUCUUUUUCCAGUCUCUCAGAGGUAACAUCCACAAAUCCACGGAUGGCCUUAUGCCCCUCCCACUCUGGGUGGACCUUAAGAAACCAAUCCCUCUUUUAUCCUUUGAGGUUGGUAGCCUGGCUUCUUCUCAUUGAUGAGAAGAUGAGACCAAAGCUGUUGAUUGCAAUUAAAGGAGAAGGUUGGACGAAAGGACCUGUGAAAAAGUGCCCAGCUGCAAAAAAGGACACUGAGGAAGAAUUUCAGAUAGAAGCUCCCCAAAUGGAUAAUGGUCCAAUCACUGUCAAGAAGGCCAAGCUCAGGAAGCUGAAAAUUGCUCGCCAGCAUUUACCCCAGAGUUACGAGUACGAUCCUUACGUUUCCUGCCUAGCGGGACUCUACAGCUGUCGAUGGGAACGGUACGAGCAGAAAAGGAUCAAGCCAGGGCAGUGCUGCUGCGGCAUCGGUGAGUGUGCAUUUUUUGCACUGCUCCUUUUCGCCUUCUUCCUCUGGUUCAUCUUUACAUACAUGUGGGGACAACUGAAAAAUGACUAUAACGCCUUCGACAGAUACAACUUUGCCAAUUAUGGAUUCUGGUUUCAUUGGUCCAUAUUGCUCCUGGUUUUGGCUGCCCUGAUUUUAUCCUACCUCUUGUUCUUACUGAUGGUUACCGUGUUUGUCUUGGGUUUAGCUGCUACCGCUUAUGUCGUGUUAAGCGCGAUGUGGCCGGAACAGUGGUCGACCUUGAGCCUCUCCUUUCAGGUAAUGAGAAGCGCGCCUAUCCUACCGGGGUGUUUUCUGGGGAGGGGGGAAGAAACAUAGGAACCAUGAUACAGUGGUGCCUUGCAUUACGAUUAAUUCGUUCCAGCGAAAUCGCUGUAGAACAAAAACUUUGUAAUGCGAAAUUAAAAAGCCCAUAGAAACGCAUUAAAACCCGAUUAAUGCGUUCCUAGGGGCUUGAAAUUCACCAUCCUCCAUAGUGUGGCCAUUUUUGUUGCCUGUGCAGUGAGGCAUCCAUCCCAGAAAACAGCGGGGAACCAUGUUUUUUACCCGGCAGCCAUUUUGAAAACGCCGAUCAGCUAGCCGAAAAUCAUCGGUUUGCGAGAAUCGGUUCCCGAAGCAGGGAACCAAUCAUCGCAAAGCGAAAUUCCCCCAUAGGAAACAUUGUUUUGCAAUUGCUUUUGCGAUCGCAAAACCUUCAACAUAAAGCGAUUUCGUCGUAAAACAGAGCGCUUGUAAUGCGAGGUACCACUGUAUAUAGAAAAUGCCACCAUCUAUCCUUUGGUUGCAGAAACAGAAGGCCUCCUUCCACCUUCCUACUCCUCUAGCAUAGGGAAGGCGGCGGGUGGGCAUCUUGUUUGGCCAACGCAAAACAAAGCGGGGGGGACGUUUGGUGCUUUGCUUUGCUUUGGCAAAACGGGAUCCCCGAACCGAGUCAUAAACUGAACCAUGAACCAUCCAUUUUUCUGGUUCGCUGUUCAGUUUCUGCUCAUCUCUAGACCCAAGAUGAUGUUGAUGAUUAAAUUAUUAAUUUAAAAUAUUUUUAUCCCCCUUUUCUCCUUAAAAAGAACCUAAGGUGGUAUUAUCUUAUAUGUUUUUUUAAUUUCUGUGCAUAGAUCAGGUGGCUAAUAUAGACAGUGCCACUGUUCGGUGGGUUUGUAAUUGGUUGAACCUAAAGGGUGCUCACCAAUGGCUUCUCUUCAUCCUGGAGAGAGGUAACUAGUGAAGUGCCUCAGGGUUCUGUUCUGGGCCCUGUGCUAUUCAACAUCUUUAUCAAUGACUUGGAUGAAGGAAUAGAGAGUAUGCUGAUUAAAUUGGCAGA
ensembl:lncRNA